rnacentral:lncRNA from 1 species
UCUGUUUAAGCAAUCUUUUUGGACCCGUGACUCUAUUAUCUUUACAACGACACGGCCAGCACUACUAUUACAUAUAGUCGAUGGUUGAAAUUACGUGCUGUACGUGCUACACGGUAUGUAAUGCUACUCUGGUCUGGAUUAAUUCGUAAAUUCGUUUUACGCGAUCAGAAUUCCAAUUUCCCCGGUCUUCGUUCAUUAAGUACGUUGUACAAGUCGAUAAUUGUUUCAAAAUUCAGCACGCUAUAAACGCAGUCCAUCGUCCGUUCGACAAAUAUAAAAAUUCACGACCGCGUUUCAACAAGGUAGCGCUCUGCCAAGUCCCUACUAAGGCGGUAAUUAGUGACUAAUUGAUACGGGAGGGAUGAUGAAAGGAUAUUCGCGGUGGUGAUCGAGGAUUAACGAAGAGAAGCCAUUCCCUGACGGACGGUUGGACAGACGGGCUGCUGGUAAACGAGAGUAUUAGCCGCAGCGUGUGAACAGAAAUAAUGAAAUAUGGGAAAGCUUUUAGCUUUUAGCUUUUAGCGAAUGUCUGAUCUGGGGUUCCCUUCGUUGUAUCUCCCUCUCCCCGCGGCCGCCGUUCUACCAAAGGAUACGGCUAGCUGUACCUACACUCGGUUGGACAACAACGCGAAACCAGCCUAAAUGAUGCAUCGAGUCAUUUAACGCCGCGGAGGCUGAGCUGGUAGAGAGCAAAAAAAAAGUGAACAACACCGAUGAUGAAAAUUGGAAUAAAUUACCCUCUUACAUUUCUGGA